rnacentral:rRNA from 1 species
GACAGAGGUUGCAAACGUUGUUCGGAAUCACUGGGCAUAAAGCGCACGUAGGCGGUCUGUUAAGUCAGGUGUGAAAGCCCCCCGGCUCAACCGGGGAAUUGCAUUUGAUACUGGCAGGCUCGAGAACGGUAGGGGGUGAGUGGAACUCCAGGUGGAGCGGUGAAAAUGCGUAGAUAUCUGGAGGAACACCGGUGGCGAAAGCGGCUCACUGGACCCGCAAACUGA